AGAGUUUGAUCCUGGCUCAGUGACGCUGGCGGCAGGCCUAACACAUGCAGUCGAGCGGUAGCACAGAGGAGCUUGCUCCUUGGGUGACGAGCGGCGGACGGGUGAGUAAUGUCUGGGAAACUGCCUGAUGGAGGGGGAUAACUACUGGAAACGGUAGCUAAUACCGCAUAACCUCUUCGAGCAAAGAGGGGGACCUUCGGGCCUCUCGCCAUCAGAUGUGCCCAGAUGGGAUUAGCUAGUAGGUGAGGUAAUGGCUCACCUAGGCGACGAUCCCUAGCUGGUCUGAGAGGAUGACCAGCCACACUGGAACUGAGACACGGUCCAGACUCCUACGGGAGGCAGCAGUGGGGAAUAUUGCACAAUGGGCGCAAGCCUGAUGCAGCCAUGCCGCGUGUGUGAAGAAGGCCUUCGGGUUGUAAAGCACUUUCAGCGAGGAGGAAGGCGGUAAGGUUAAUAACCUUAUCGAUUGACGUUACUCGCAGAAGAAGCACCGGCUAACUCCGUGCCAGCAGCCGCGGUAAUACGGAGGGUGCAAGCGUUAAUCGGAAUGACUGGGCGUAAAGCGCACGCAGGCGGUCUGUUAAGUUGGAUGUGAAAUCCCCGGGCUUAACCUGGGAACUGCAUUCAAAACUGACAGGCUAGAGUCUUGUAGAGGGGGGUAGAAUUCCAGGUGUAGCGGUGAAAUGCGUAGAGAUCUGGAGGAAUACCGGUGGCGAAGGCGGCCCCCUGGACAAAGACUGACGCUCAGGUGCGAAAGCGUGGGGAGCAAACAGGAUUAGAUACCCUGGUAGUCCACGCUGUAAACGAUGUCGAUUUGGAGGUUGUGCCCUUGAGGCGUGGCUUCCGGAGCUAACGCGUUAAAUCGACCGCCUGGGGAGUACGGCCGCAAGGUUAAAACUCAAAUGAAUUGACGGGGGCCCGCACAAGCGGUGGAGCAUGUGGUUUAAUUCGAUGCAACGCGAAGAACCUUACCUACUCUUGACAUCCACAGAAUUUGCUAGAGAUACCUUAGUGCCUUCGGGAACUGUGAGACAGGUGCUGCAUGGCUGUCGUCAGCUCGUGUUGUGAAAUGUUGGGUUAAGUCCCGCAACGAGCGCAACCCUUAUCCUUUGUUGCCAGCGAUUCGGUCGGGAACUCAAAGGAGACUGCCGGUGAUAAACCGGAGGAAGGUGGGGAUGACGUCAAGUCAUCAUGGCCCUUACGAGUAGGGCUACACACGUGCUACAAUGGCGUAUACAAAGAGAAGCGACCUCGCGAGAGCAAGCGGACCUCAUAAAGUACGUCGUAGUCCGGAUUGGAGUCUGCAACUCGACUCCAUGAAGUCGGAAUCGCUAGUAAUCGUAGAUCAGAAUGCUACGGUGAAUACGUUCCCGGGCCUUGUACACACCGCCCGUCACACCAUGGGAGUGGGUUGCAAAAGAAGUAGGUAGCUUAACCUUCGGGAGGGCGCUUACCACUUUGUGAUUCAUGACUGGGGUGAAGUCGUAACAAGGUAACCGUAGGAACCUGCGGCUGGAUCACCUCCUU
rnacentral:rRNA from 1 species